ensembl:lncRNA
GUAACAUUACCACUGUUCUACUAUUGCCUCUACACACAUGGAGACAUUCAUAAUUGAUAAAAUGGUCCAUACUAGUGUUACAGCUAGAAUAAAUCUAAGGUUGGAUCUCUGGGAGAGCAAAUCCUGUCCUCAUUUUUGUUAAGAAAUAAAUAAAAGGCAUGAGUUAAAAAUUAUCCAAAAGGAGGAGGAGGGCAUGUAGGCUGGGCAGAGGGAAGACAACAAGGUUUGAAAAAAGAAGAGAGGAUAUAGAUGGAAGAAAACCAGUCAGAAGAAUAUCUUGAAGAAUGAGUGGUUUUUUUGGUUUGGUUUUGGUUGUUUUGGUACCAGGGACUGAACUCAGGACCUUGCACUUGCGAGGCACGCAGCAUAACCACUGAGCUAAAUCCCUGGCCCAACUUUCUGCAUCUCUCUCUUGUUGGAGCAGGCUAAUGAUUGACUGCUGUCUUAGCCUUUUGUUGCUGGCAAGGUCCUGGAAGAAACUGAAAGUCUUUGAGCAACAAUGGAUUAAACUGCUUUAGGAAAUUCUGAGCUGAUGAACAUCAAAUUGGCAGGUUGAGUUUGAUGGAUCCUCUGCUGUUGAGAGAGUUGUUGGAGGCUGUAGAACAAUGAAGGAAUGAGCAAAGUGUAUGCUGCACUGGCUGUGAAAUAUCUCUGGUUUGCAGUGAUGCACAUAAAUUGAACUCAUCCCCAGUGACCAGAGCAUGUCACAUUACCAAGCCCACCUUCAGGAGCUUUUAGCCUUUGGAGGAAACACUACAUUCAGAGGAACUAAAUGGACAUUUUCUAGACAGAUACUAAUGUGUGACAAUAAAUGCAUAGAAUAAAGAACUUAAAGCCAAUAUUAUGAAAACAGUAUGCCAUCAUAAAAAUAUGGAGAUUAUGAAAAGGAAAUAAAAAAUAAAUCAACAGUCUAUUCAUAGGCAACCACUGUCAACAUUUUUAUGUAUGUGUUUUGAUCUCCUGUGUAUAUUAAAAAAUCACUAAGUUCCCACCAGCAUUACAUUUUCAUAUGGACAGACCCAAGUGUUCCAGUGGGUAUCAGCUAUGAUGAGAGACAACAAGAGAAGAAGUUGUAGCCAUGAAUGACCCAGGGUUUUAAUGUAAGAGCACAGCAUUCCCAUUACCAUGGGAUGGCCAUGGUAACCAAAAGGAGAGACUCCAAAGAUGUAAAAUUCUGGUGAAGAGUGAUAUGGGAGAAAGUCAGUACUCUGUCCACCAACCCCCUCCACUAUGAGAUUCCCAUUCCAGUGCUCAAUGUCAACAGCUCG